CUCGCAGAAAUUGCUGACAGCUUUGUUUUCAACCCUCCAGGAGUAAAAAGAAGCUGACAACUUAUUUUUGCAGGUUAUGCUCAUUCAAGUCUAUUUUUAGAUCUUGUUCCUAAAUAAGUACACCAGAAUAGCAUUCAGUUUGAAAAUCACCAUCUGUUCAGAGCAAUGAGCUUGGCCUCGCUGGGCUGGGUAUACCUGGCCCAUGGCAAGGUGGCAGUCCCCUUGUGGACUGAACCGAGGGGGCAGUUUCAGGUCUCCAAGUGGUGUUUGAAGAAUGCACUAAAAACAGUCACAGGCAGUUGGCAUUUUAAAUGCCCAUUAAACAACUAUUAAUAUAUUUUAUUUAUAAGCUGAGAACCACACAAAAAAUGCCCUUGGCUUUUUAAAAAGAAGUUCAAAUAAUCCCUUGUAUUUAAAUAGAUUUCUUAUAAAAAGGCGAUCCAGCCUAAGUUUGGUAGUUAAGAUAAAAAUUAACCUAUGGAAAAGAAAGCCAGCUCAGAACGCUAUAAAAAGGCCCCUUCCCCCCCCCCCUUUCUUCCGGUGUAUGGUGGCCCUCCCCUCCCUCUGCAGCCACUUGGUAGUGACUCACGCUUUUCUUUGGAAAUGCAGUUGCUGCGUGAAACACAACGUGAGAAUGGGAAUCUGACAUAUGAGUAACCCGGCCGAGAGGCACCUCUUGGAAAUGACACUGGGCCUUGGCUAGAAUUACGCACAGGCCCUGGGAGGGCUGCGGCUCGUAGGCCCGUAGGGGGCAGGGUGAGGGCGGAGGUCCUGGCGCCCCCAGGCCUGACCCGCCCGCACCGCUGGGCUAUUUUUAGCGUCCACUAAACUUAGCCGACUCCACCCUCUUGAAUAACCCACAUCUUAAAAUGCUAUUUUUCUCCAACAGGUCAAAAGAAUUCUGCGAGUUAGAGCGCAGAUUAAGUUGCUAGCGACGGGCAUUGAAGGUUUUAGAACCGAGAAAAUGAGCCGGUGGCGGGGAGCGCGUCCUCAGCGGCCAGGCCCGGCACGGGGCUCGGGCACUCGGGGACACACGGUGGUCGUCGCUGUGUCUCAGCAGGACCCUGUGCGCUGGAGAGCUUGGGGCCGCGAGUCGCGCAGCAAGGAGGCUUCUGGCUUCUCUAUUUUUAGCCUCUGAACGUUUUCCAAAAUAAUUACCAAAAGGAAAUACACACGCACACAUGGACCUAACACACAAAACGUCCUUCUGCGGGAAGCCAGCACUAGGAAAGAAAAAAAAAAAAAUCCGAAGUGAAAUUAUGACACAGGGUUUUGUAACCCGCGGUGGCGCGCUUCUGAAACCCGAGCCCGGCAGCGGCUUCUUAUCUGCACCGCGUUCCAGGAAGCAGCCGGCGUUUCGGCCGCGCAAGGGCAGCCGCCGCACGUAGGCAGCGUCCCCCAGCCCGGGACCCGCAGGAAUGCGAGGGGCAAGACAGAUCGCCGGAGGAGCAGGGGUCAGAAGUCAGUGUUUAACCACUCACUGGCUUUCGGUGAAGCCAGAAUGUUAGCAGCGAGUCGCGGUCGGGGGCCUUGGGGUUGCACACGCUUGCUCCAAGCACCGAGGCUCAGCUGAGCACAUGCACAACCCUCUCGAUGCAGCGGAAAGUCGUGUGGCUUAGGGCCGCACCCCGAAUUUCGCCGCACCCGCCGCUGUGCCAUUUACAACCCCCCACCCCGCCACUGCUGUCACGUAGCAAUCAAGAGUAAAGGUUAUCACAAAGUCUGUUCUUCGAAGGAAAGAGUUGGAAUCAAGGACUUCGGACGGGAGGAAGUUGGUAAGUUACCGCUUCCUCCCUCCUGUUUUCCUCUCCUUGUUUAACUUCUCACAAGAACAUGUGGCAGCGCUGCAGGUUAACUCAUCUUACAUAACUUCGGGGCCGUGUCAACUGUUCAGAAGAAAGAAAAACAAGUAUUCUCUUCUGUAGAAGUUGUAUUUAGAAACAGGCUCUGUUGUUUAGGACAAGUUCACUUGUGUUGCCUGAUCACUUGCAGCAGAAAAUCUUAGAACUGCUCCUCAAGCAACAAAAAGUAGGGGCUCCCAUUUCCAUCUUUCUUUCUUUUCUUUUUCUUUCUCUCUCUCUCCUUCCCUCCCUCCCUCCUUCCUCUCUCUCUCUUUCUUUCUUUCUGAUGGAGGCUUGCUCUGUCGCCCAGCUGCAGUGCAGUAGCACGAUCUCAGCUCACUGCAACCUCCGCCUCCCGGGUUCAAGCGAUUCCCCUGCCUUAGCCUCCCGAGUAGCUGGGACUACAGGUGCGCACCACCACGCCCAGCUAAUUUUUUGUAUGUUAGUAGAGAUGGGGUUUCACUAUGUUGGCCAGGAUGGUCUCGAUCUCCUAACUGCGUGAUCCGCCUGCCUCGGCCUCCCAAAGUGCUGGGAUUACAGGUGUGAGCCACUGUGCCCAGCCGGGCUCCCAUUUUUCUGAAUAUGAACUUCAAAAUAGUUUGAGGAGCCCAACAUGAGAGUAACUGGACAAUUGUCUUCCUCUGAGAAAACAAAAUGACAAACAACCAACAUGAAUCAAAUGAUGACUUGGUAUUUCAUUAAACACAACUCUUACAGCACCAGGAAGACAGUAGCCCAUUUUGUGCCAAGCGUAUUUACUCAGUUGGUGGCAAUAGGGGUUUGGAGAAUCUUGCAUUGUGGUUUGCUGGGGUCCACAAGCCACACAUCGGGUGUCUGGCCAUCCUGCAUGUCCAAAGGUGAACAAAGAAAUGCACUAAUAACCUAGAGACACAGGGACAAGAACAAGCCCAGUAAUACCCAUGUAGCCGUCUGCUAGAAUUGAAAGCCAGGUAUGGUGGGCUUCUACCCCACCCCAAUCACGACGUCCUAAUGAGGGCUACCAACUACCAAUUACCACACCUCCCCCCUGGCCUAGGGCCCUCAUCCUCCCCAAACAUCUCUGAGCAGAGUGGCAAUUAAGAGCACCCUGCUCUGUGGCUGGGAGCCUGGGAGCUGCCAGGGGCCAUAUCCUCCUACCACAGGGGAAGCUGGAUAGCAGAGGAGAUGGGGAGAUGGGAGAAGAAAGACUGAGUUCCCAGAGUCCUGAGACAGCAGUCCAGUGGCUCCCUGGCUGGGCACAGGGAGUCCCUUUUCCUGACUCGUUCAGUUCAAGCUGGGUCUGUUACUUGCCUCCAGAAGAGUUUUGAUACAGGUGUUGGCACCUUCUCAAUGCCCUGUCUCCAUGGUUGACCCACUUCCCUGACAGUGCCUUGAGCUCCUCCCCUGAUCUGGGCUGGUCCAGGCCCUUGCUGGGGGACGCCACGUGCUAGGGUAGACCAGAAGUCCCUUCUUGGAAGCCCUACUUCCUGUGGUUCUUAGAUGCCAUGUGGCUGACAUCUGGAGAGAGGGUGGACUAUGGACUCCCUCCCCACAUGAAAUCUAUGAAAGGCCAAAUAAGGUUUAAGAGGUCUGUUCUCAGCCCCUGACAACCUCCAGGACUCUCUAAGACUGCACGAACAAAAAUGAAGUAGUGCAUGGACCAAUGAGGUGAUAAGACCCCAGCGGAAAAAUUUUCUCCAAUAUUCCUCUAGGAAAGAGUCCUAGCAGCAAGAACAUUGGUCACGAGAUUGGCCAAGGGAUCAAUCAACUCUCUAGUCCCUUCCCGUGA
rnacentral:lncRNA from 1 species